GGGGGGAGUGGAUUCCCACUCCCACCUCCCCCCAUGGGAGUGGGAAUCCCACUCCCCACUCCAAAAUUGAGUGGGAUCCACGGAUUCCCACUCCCACUCCCCUUUUUUUUAAGAUAGGUAAACACUGGAGUGGGAGAAAUCCACACUCCACACUCCCACUCCAAAAAAUAAACAGUACCUUAGAAGAUAGCAGCGAAUAACAUUGGGCACUGUAGGGCAUUCCUUGAACUUUCUUUGCACCUGUGAAUCAGUACCCUUGGAUCUGCACCAAUUUUUUUAAACGAAGAUCUCGCGGUUGCUAAAACCAGACCAGGAGUCAGGACCAAAUCAUUUUGAUACAACGAUUGCGACAGCCCCUCAUUCAUUAUAAGAUUCCCACUGGUUCACUUCUCAGCAAGCUGGGCAAGAAGCUUGGCCAAUAAGAUUCGAUAGACACAAUUGAGUGUGAUCUUCUCUGCAGUAAUGAUCGAUGAUGCCAUCAUUUGUGGAGGUUCGAAUAGAAAGUAUGAUAAUAAGGGUAAAUUUGAGGACUGUAUGGGGUUUAUUGAGAGGAAAAAUUAUUUUAAAAUUAAUAAUAAAAUUAACUGAGAGAUGAGGGUUGAUAAAAUAAAUUAAAGGUUUUUCAAGAUAUCGCAUAUAUGGAGCUCCUUGAAGAAAGGUUGUAAUACAUAAUAA
rnacentral:lncRNA from 1 species